UAGGGUUCACGUAUCUCAUAUCAGGGUUAUCCUUUUGGAUUUAUGACCAUUGUUUCCCAGGACUCGAGCUUUUUAUGGCUUAUUUCUCUGCAUAAAUCCAAAGAUUAUGGAGUGGGUGGGCUGCUUUAGUUCCCCUUAGGAAAAACGUUUGUUUUCCCUAUGCAAAUUUUGACAGCUUUCUGUUAAGACUUUGGUAGGUCUGUGUUCCUGUUUCAAAAUGUUUUUUUUAUCCUUCUCAAAUUGGAUUUUUAGGGGAGAUAAUGUGAAAUAUCACAUUAUUUUUAUCAGGUGUUUAUUAGGUGUUCUUAUCUGUUGGAAAAACUUUCAAACCUAGUGGAACAUCACAUUUUAGACUUACAAAGUCAUGCCAGGGGGUGGCUCAGCAGUUAAGAGCACUAGCUGCUCUUCCGGAGGUCAUGAGUUCAAAUCCCAGCAACCACUGAGUGGCUCACAACCUUCCUUAAUGAGAAAACAAAAACAAAACACAAACAAACAAAAAACCUAUGGGCUGGAGAGAGCAGGGCCGGAGCGAAAGGGGGUGGGGGGAGGAAAAAAAAGAACCGAACAACAAAAUCAGGCCCAGAGAGCAUGAUACAAUCUGAAUUAUAAUUCCUAGUGUCUUUUGCAGCCCCAGGUGGGCUGAAGAAAAGUAUGUGGUUAUUUUGGUCAUGUUUGAGGGCCCUCUUUCUGGUAUGCUCAGGGAAUUAUUACCACUAGAAAACGUGGGCUCGUUCUUGGUCUGGAAACUGACUUCUUAGGUACCUUGCAUUCUGAGACAUAUUUGGAAGUCUGGAGCUGAACCCUUUGGAGGCGUGGCCUUGAGACUACAUUUCCCAGCUUGCCCUAUGUUAUCUGAUUUCCUUGAACUUUGCUCGGGAACUUUAUCGCCAUGUUAAAAGAUGAGUUUGGCGGUGACAAGCUUUAAUCUUGUUUGAGAACUCAAUUUCCCGUCGGCCCUUGGUCUACCUGAUGCCUUAGGGAGCCCAUUCAUUCAUUCAUUCGAAAUAUUUUUUAUUGCCUACUCUCAGGCUUAGUUCUAGUCAUUAGGACUAAGAGGGUCUCAAAGAAAACAAAUCGAGUUUACUUAUAGCCGAUGGGAGAGGGACAGAUUCAAAACCAAAACAAGUACGGCAUGGUGGCACUCCUUUAAUUUCAUCACUCCAGAGGCAGGAGGAGGCGGAGUUUUGUGAGUUCGAGGCCAUUCUGUCUGCAUAGUGAGCUUCAAACCAGGCAGGGCUACAUACUGAGACCCUGUCUCAAAACAAAAAUAACCCCCCCCCCACACACACACACACACAAACAAACAGACUCCUGUAAUCCCAGCAAUUAGGAGAUGGAGACAGGAAGAUCAGAAGUUCAAGGGCAUUAUUAAUGAGUUCGAGCGCCAUCCUAUCUCAAAACAAAUCGUAAAAAGUAUGCAAAAUUUAUUUCUAUCUCUCAGGAUCCGCUAUCCGCUAUCAUUUCCCAUGCGCCUUGGGGUAGUCACUUUACAAAGUACACUACAUUUCCCAGCAUGCCCCAGUAGCCUGUCCGGCCGCUCUACCCAGAUUCCCAGCACUCCCUAGGGACAUGUCCUCCUUUAGGCAGUUCUCUUUUUGCUUGUUUUUUCGAGAGAGGGUUUCUCUGUGUAGCUCUGGCUGUCCUGGAACUCAGGACCAGGAUCAGACCAGACUGGCCUCGAACUCACUGCCUCCCAAGUGCUGGGAUUGAGGGCGUGCCUUUUGAGUUUUUCGUUCGACCCCUUCCAGCUCCGGAUUUCUAAACGUGCCUCAGGAUAUAUAGCGAGUCUAGCGAAGACUUCCGCUUGUAGAACCCAUUUCCCAGCACUUCUGCCGGCCUGCCGGCUGCCUCAUUCUCUAACCUAUCUGCUCAAGUUAUGCAAGGCUCCUCAAUGGGGAGAAACUCCACUUCCCAGCUCGCUACGAGGGGCUUCUUUUUAGGCCCUUGCCCCCAGCGAUAGCUACGCAAGUCUCAGGCGGGACUCGGUUACCCAGAGGGCUUUGGGUCGGCGCCGUGACGUCAAUAUACCGAGCGGGGGCUGGGCGAGCUUCUGGGCGGUGCUUGUCGCGCGGCGGUUCCCGGCGGCCCCCGGGGCGGGCGGGUGGCGGCUGUUCGUCGCCCGGUGCUCGCUCGCUCGCUUAGUAGGCGGGCGAGCGGCCGGCGCGAUGUCCGGCGAGGAUGGUCCGGCAGCGGGCCCGGGGGCGGCGGCGGCUGCUGCGGCCGCCCGUGAGCGGCGGCAGGAGCAGCUGCGGCAGUGGGGGGCUCGGGCGGGCGCCGACCCGGGCCCCGGGGAGCGGCGAGCCCGCACGGUCCGCUUCGAGCGCGCCGCUGAGUUCCUGGCGGCCUGCGCGGGGGGCGAUCUGGACGAGGCUCGCCUGAUGCUGCGCGCAGCGGAUCCCGGUCCCGGCUCCGGCGCUGCGUCCGACCCCGCCGUCCCUCCGCCUGCCCGUGCCGUGCUCGACUCCACCAACGCGGAUGGCAUCAGCGCCCUGCACCAGGCCUGCAUAGAUGAGAACCUGGAAGUCGUUCGCUUCCUGGUGGAGCAGGGUGCUACUGUGAACCAGGCAGACAACGAGGGCUGGACGCCUCUGCAUGUGGCUGCCUCCUGUGGGUACCUGGACAUUGCCAGGUACCUCCUGAGCCAUGGGGCCAACAUUGCUGCUGUCAACAGUGACGGGGACCUGCCUUUGGACCUGGCUGAGUCAGAUGCCAUGGAGGGGCUGCUGAAGGCAGAGAUCACUCGCCGAGGUGUGGAUGUCGAGGCAGCCAAGCGGGCUGAAGAAGAAUUGCUGCUUCAUGACACAAGGUGCUGGCUGAAUGGGGGUGCUAUGCCAGAGGCCAGGCACCCCCGGACUGGGGCCUCUGCCCUGCAUGUGGCUGCUGCCAAGGGCUACAUCGAGGUGAUGAGGUUGCUACUCCAAGCUGGCUAUGACACAGAGCUCCGGGAUGGAGAUGGCUGGACACCCUUGCAUGCAGCAGCCCACUGGGGUGUGGAGGAUGCCUGCCGUCUGCUGGCUGAGCAUGGCGGGGGCAUGGAUUCGCUGACCCACGCGGGGCAGCGUCCCUGUGACCUGGCUGACGAGGACGUGAUGAACCUUUUGGAGGAACUGGCUCAGAAACAGGAGGACCUUCGGAACCAAAAGGAAGGCUCCCAGGGCCGAGGCCAGGAGUCACAGGUCCCUUCAAGUAGUAAGCACAGAAGGAGCUCCGUGUGCCGUUUGAGCAGCCGAGAGAAGAUCUCCUUGCAGGAUCUAUCAAAGGAGCGCCGGCCUGGUGGGGCAGGAGGGCCUCCUAUUGGAGAUGAGGAUGAGGGAGGUGAAGCGUCAGCUGAGCACCCAGCUGUGGAACCAAGAGCCCUCAAUGGUGUGUCUUCCCCUGUGUCCUCCAACCCUAAGAGCCCUGUGCUGCCAGAAGAGGCUCCCUUUUCCAGGCGCUUUGGUCUCCAGAAGACAGGGAGCACUGGUGCCUUGGGUCCUUCAGAAAGGAGGGCUACAGAGGGCGUUCUCGGUCUGCAGCGCUCAGCCUCCUCCUCCCUCCUUGAGAAGGCCUCCACUCAGGCCAGGGAGCCCCGUCUUGCCAGAAUAACCCCUACCCCUGCCCAGAAAGUGCCAGAGCCCUUCACCCUGUAUGAGGCUGCCACGCCUCCUUCUUUGGAUCACUCUGUUCCACCCUCCAGGAGGGAGCCUGGAUCGAUAGUGAAGCCAAAUGUCCUCACAGCCUCUGCAGCGCCCCUGGCCGACUCCAGGGACCGUCGGAGGUCCUACCAGAUGCCUGUGCGUGAUGAGGAGUCCGAGUCUCAGCGGAAGGCCCGCUCCCGCCUUAUGCGACAGUCUCGGAGGUCCACACAGGGUGUAACUCUAACAGACUUGAAGGAAGCAGAAAAGGUGGCUGGGAAGGUCCCAGAGCCAGAGCAGCCUGCCCUACCCAGCCUGGACCCUUCUCGGAGACCUCGGGUCCCUGGAGUGGAGAACGCUGAGGGCCCUGCCCAGAGAGCAGAGGCGCCCGAAGGGCAGGGCCAGGGACCACAGGCGGCCAGGGAGCAUCGAAAAGCUGGCCAUGAGCGGAGGGGGCCAGCAGAGCACUGUGGAUGGUGGAUCCCAGGUCCGCAGGCAGCACUCACAGAGAGACCUCGUUCUAGAAUCCAAGCAGGAGCACGAGGAGCCUGAUGGAGGCUUCCGGAAGAUGUACACGGAGCUCCGCAGGGAGAAUGAGCGACUUCGUGAGGCCCUGACAGAGACCACCCUGCGUCUGGCACAGCUCAAGGUGGAGCUGGAGCGGGCCACGCAGCGGCAGGAACGCUUUGCUGAGAGGCCCGCCCUCCUUGAACUGGAGAGAUUUGAGCGCAGGGCUCUGGAGCGCAAGGCAGCAGAGCUGGAAGAGGAGCUGAAGGCCCUCUCUGAUCUCCGGGCUGACAACCAGCGGCUCAAGGAUGAGAAUGCAGCAUUGAUCCGAGUCAUCAGCAAACUAUCCAAGUGACUCUGGAGGAGUUCCCGCACCAUAUUUAUACUGCUGCUUCUGACACACGCACCCUUUCCCCCCGCGUGAACAUGAGUGACAGGGCUCUGGGGGAAAUUGCUGAGAAGCCAUAACCUCUCGGGACCUCAGAACCGGGAGGAAAGCACAGAGUCCCCAGGAACCAAGGGGGACUCUCUGAGAUCAGGAUAGAGAUGGGAGGCUGAGCCAAGUAGGGAGACGUUGCUGAGAGUGGACAGGCACCAGAGAUGGGACCAAGAAGGAAGCAAGGACCAAGAGACACAAAGAUCAGUAUCCAGAAGCAGAGUGGUUGCCCCAGGAUCCCACCUCACGUGUGAUGCUACCCAGCACUCCUCCUCCUCCCCAGCAGGGAUGCAGGAAUGUGCCAAGAGUCCCACUGGCCUCUGCCAGGUGGGCCUGUAGAUAGGUCCAUGUGCAAUAGGGAGGGAUGUCUUCUAUUUUUGCUGCCUCCUCCCUACCCAUUGUCUGGGGAGGGGGAGAAGGUAUUUUUGAGACAAAGCACAGGCACCAUAAAUAAAGUGACAUUGCCACUCAG